UCGCCAAGCCCUACUCAAGGGCCAGUUUUAUUUGCAACCGCGGGAAACAAAGCCCCCAUGACGCUGUCUUUUCAGGCCUUCAGGAAUGGCCGAAAUUCCGAAAUUUGUGGAGGACUCUGCCUGGCCCUCGUCGUCUCAGAGGCCGGCCAAGGGCAAUCAAAGGGUGUUUUCGACUCCGUAGGGAUACCUUCUACCCCAAUAUGAUAUUAGUUUGAGGAUGGGCUGCGUGAAGCGCAGUUACACGGCUGAUGUUUGUUGGACACUCGUCAUUUCCAUUUGCAUUCAUCAAUCAUUGGGCUCGAAAGAACUGGCUGAUUCAUCGUCACUGGAGGAUUCACUGCUGCUGCUGCUGUGUUCCAGGGACACUACAAGCCUGCCCGUGUUGGUGCAGUGGCGACAUUUGCACCCAGGACCACAGAUUUUGCCAGAUUUCCGGCAUUUGCAUCGCUUUGAUUCGCAGCUACCCUUCUUGCAGCUGCAACCCUUGGUCAAAGCCAAGACCCGUUGCCUCACCACCUCUGCAUGCUCCUCUAGCUCCCAAUGAAUAGAAAGUGCAUUGUCACACAAAAGCCACCCAUUUCCAUUCAAUGGUGGGCACUGUACUGUGGGUCGCUCAGCCUGGCGCCACAUAUCCAAUACCCAGCAAGCACGUUUCCAGUGAAGAAGCAGGGCAGACGCUGAUGGUACACAAUCAUCUUCCGCAUCAACUCGUUGCCAAACAGCAUCCCUGAUCUUUGACAGCCAGGUAUUGUGCUGGUCGACUGGUGUCUCUGUAGCUUGUUGUUUGAACAAUGCGUGCGGGCUGUUGGCUUCAAAAGCUGCAACAUGCUUUUGAUAGUAUGCUGUGCCCACGAGUCGUAGGAAUGCCAAGUAUCCACGCUGUCCGUUCUGCCUGUGUGUGUCACUCAGCAGUCCCAAUGCAUCCACGCCGCUCGUGAUGAAUGAAGCAUAUUGGAACAUGAUCUUGUAGAAUGUUAAUUUGCUGAUGCCAGAGAAGUAGGACAAGUAGUCACACCCAGUCAGAACGAAUAGUGCUUGCAGUAGCAUCAGACGACUAUCGCUGGGCACCUUGGCCAAAUCUGGAUCGCCAUUGAUGGCCUUGGCCAAUUUGCUUAGGAGCAAAAACUUCCGUUCCGGUGCACCAGGCAUAUCCAGUUGUACAGCUAUACUUCUGUCUGCGACUUCCCGUCCAGAUAGGGCGACAUGAUAGGUAUCCGUGUCUGGACUGUACACGACUACUGGGUCGUUUGCUGCCGCGUGACGCCACACUCGAGAGUCGGCCUCUUCUGCAUCGGACGCAUACACGUCUAGCUGUUUUACCACUGGAUCACCGUACGCUGUCCCAAGUGCCUUGCCAGUGAAUUCCCCGUCCAAGCCACCUCCAGUCACAAAGGCUUGAUGCGGUUGCCGGAGAAAGUGCAGGGAAUUGAAGAGGCUAAAUGUGGUAAUGAAAUUAACUAACAUUCUCUUGCAUUUCCGACAAGACAAGAACUUCCUCCAGCUCUUUGGCAGUGCCAUGUCUCCAGUGAUUGACUCAUGGUUGCAGCACAGCUCUGAUGUGCACAGGGUAGACGCAUCGCCCACGGCAUCACGUUGCUCUCGGAGAAGAUCCUUUGGGCUGACACCAGCUACGUUUGGGUGGUCGAAGACCAGGUGAACCGACUGUAUGCCCAACCUAUACCAAGGCGUGAUCCACCGUUGGAUGAGGAACGUGGCAUAAUCCGCGAAUGUCCGGUACGCAAUCGAUGCUGUCGUUGAGGAGGGCUAGCGCUUGGGAUGCGGAGGAUCCGACUCUCAACAUACGCAAGGUAUGUCCGUGUGCCAGUACUGUAAAAACUUAACAAAUCUGCUCUCAUUUCUUGCGUAGCCACUUCACCAGUGAACACGUUGUGCAGUACCCGUGGGCCAUUGUUGUGGAACAGGCCUGCAUCUGUUAGGAGUUUCUCCAUGGCUUGGCAGUUGCCUUUAAACACAGCUUCGCUUGGAGUGGUCCCGCUUGUGGCUCCGGAUGUACUCUUCUCUUUGCUUGGGUUAAUUGUGGGAAAGAGCUGUGCUGAAAGAUUGGACAUCAUGUGCGCUCUUUGUGGCAAGUAGUGCACUUGACGGUCGAAGUAAUCCGCAUCAGGUGUCACUAGCGCUUUUUUUAAGUUGCGAUUAAUGCACAUUUCGUGUGCCUCGUCAAUUCCAACUGUGUUGAAUGACGUCUUCGAGAGGCCAACCGCAAACCCUCCAUUCUGGAAAUGCUGCUGGAUCUCUUGUGGCAAAGCGCCCAUGUGGCUUAGGUGUCUUGGCACCAACCGCAAAUAGAACGUUCGGUCCAGAGCAUGAAACAGUGGGGCAGCCAUUUUCAGUGCUGCAAUACGCAGUUGCCAGUUGCGUGACCGAAUGGCUACCCAAAGAGCAAUGUAAACAAUGCAAUCUCUGCUGGCGAACGCACUCCAAAAUUCCCACACCUCAUCGUACUUGCAUUGUGCAUCGCUGUACGUUGCCGAGCAUGCGUCCAAGGACAUUGUUAUCACUUGGUAUGCAGACAGAAUGAAGUUGUGCGUCUUCCGGAAAUUGCCACAUUUCUCAAGGCUGGUGAGAGCUUCACCUUUGAAUCCCAUUGCUCUCGCAAGUUGCUUCAGGCCCGCGUCCCAGUACACCCUCAUCAGUACGGGUUGCAGAGCUUUGAGCGUGUGCCAAUCGCCAAUGAAUGGCACAACCCAAUCGAGCUCACUGCCGUACUCUGACUGCAGGUUUAGCAAAUGGUCAUAAGUUUUGCCGUCUCCAACCACGCAAAGCCAUUUUGUAAUUUUGCCAACGCCGUAGAUGCCAUGCAGCUUAUCUAGCACAGACUUCAUUGUUGUUUUGGAGUCUGCUGGCUCGUUAAUUACGCCGAGGUACACAAUGUUAGACUCUUCCGCAGGUUUGUCCUUGAAUACCUGCGUGAAAAACGGUUUCAGGCCAGUCUGUUGCUCGGCAGAAGUGUACGCUUUCAGCUGCUCUUUCAGGCGAUCCAGUUCGAUGGUCUCCUGAGCUCCCAUUUUGAAAUUGUCUAGUAUGCAAGGGAAAAUGUAUGCAACAUCAUGUCUUUCUGAACUCCAGCGGACAUAUGUUGGUCAACCAUUGCCAUCUUGUAGCGAUCGAAUGUAUCUCGUCCAGCAACUAUUCCAAGCUUGGCAAGGAUUUUCAUCAGCUCGUUUGAAUGACUAUAAGUCUCCACGGCGUCGCUCAGGAGGGGCGGCUGGUUCUUGCCUCUGCUGUAGAAGAUUCCGUCGCUGCUCCACCAUGGAGUAGUAGAGUGACUGCAGCGUGUCUGACCCAUUUCGGUGAAGCAUGAUUCCAUGCUUCCGGGACGCACCAAGUUUUUUAAUUGAGGCAUGGUGGUCAAGACGAUGUAUCAAACGAUAGAGCAGCCACCUAGCGUUCCUUCCAGUUUGCUCCUUGUCUGCUUCCUCAUACACCUCGUGUACAGUCACCAGAAGGACAGCUCCCCGAUGAAGCAAUUGCUCAGCGGCGAAACGUUCAGCUACCAGCUGCGCAUCAUGCCCACGUGCCAGUGACUGAUCAAUGCUAGUGAUGAGGGACUGCAGCUGGUGAUCUGUGCUGGCCGGUGCGUCAUCACCAGUCCCGCCAAUGUCUCUCAGUAUAUUAAGCUGGGCAUUGUAGCAUGUGGUGCAGUACCAAUCCUCCGGUAUGACCUCUGUCUCACAGUUUACUUGCAGGAAAUGCUGGAUUGAAGGAAAGUUUGGUGACUUCCGCCUCGGUGGUUGUAGGCGCUGUUUGCACAUUCCGCAUGCAGGUCUAUUGUAUGCCUGGUUAUAAUGUAGGUUGCACAUUGGCUGCUGGGAUGCAUCAUGGCAGUGCAUUUCACUCUCACAGUCGUCAACACUGCACAGUGGCUUUGCCGGUUUGCCGGCUGCUCCUCGCUGGCAGCCAUUUCGCAGUGCCUUCACGCAAGGCCAGCAUACACAUGCAGUAUUUGGUACGGCUGUUGACAGCUUUAUAGCUUCCCAGUCCUGUAUCAUUUGUGGAUGUGUAAACUUGUAUGUUGGCUGUUUGCAAAUUGCGCAAUCUGGACCGCAUUGCUGACCAGGAUGAAGUUUAUCUCCAGAAGUUGUUCGUCCCAUUUCUAUUAUUGAAAUUGGCCGUUUCCUUUCAUUAAUUAUUAUUAUGGUGUGAUCAUUGUGCCAUUGUUGCCAGCUUCCAUCACUGUUUUUGUAUUAUUUUCCAUUGACACCAUACACCGAGUACUGAAAGAGGUUCACCUUCUACUCAGUACGAGAGUAUAGUAUUAUUAUGACUGUAUGACACGAAUUUCCACUAAAAAUAUGGCAAGC